rnacentral:rRNA from 1 species
GCACAAGCGGUGGAGCAUGUGGUUAAUUCGAUGAUACGCGAAGAACCUUACCGGGGUUUGACAUGCAGGUGAUCGCCGUUGAAAGACGGUUUCCUCUUCGGAGGCACCUGCACAGGUGCUGCAUGGCUGUCGUCAGCUCGUGUCGUGAGGUGUCGGGUUAAGUCCCAUAACGAGCGCAACCCUUAUCGUUAGUUGCCAUCUGGUAAAGCAGGGGACUCUAGCGAAACUGCCACCGUAAGGUGAGAGGAAGGUGGGGAUGACGUCAAAUCAGCACGGCCCUUAUGUCCAGGGCUACACACGUGUUACAAUGGCCGGUACAAAGGGUCGCAAUACCGCGAGGUGGAGCUAAUCCCAAAAAGCCGGUCUCAGUUCGGAUUGGAGUCUGCAACUCGACUCCAUGAAGUUGGAAUCGCUAGUAAUCGCAGAUCAGCACGCUGCGGUGAAUACGUUCCCGGGCCUU